rnacentral:rRNA from 1 species
UUCUGGCUCAGGAUGAACGCUGGCGGCAUGCCUAAUACAUGCAAGUCGAACGGGAGUGCUUGCACUCCAGUGGCGAACGGGUGAGUAAUACAUAGGUAACCUGUCCUUAAGACGAGGAUAGCUUCUAGAAAUGGAAGAUAAAACUGGAUAGGACAUCACAAAUCACAUGAUUAGAUGUUUAAAAGAGCAAUCUACUUAAGGAGGGGCCUGUGGCGCAUUAGCCAGAUGGCGGGGUAAUGGCCCACCAUAGCGAUGAUGCGUAGCCGGUCUGAGAGGACGAACGGCCACAUUGGGACUGAGACACGGCCCAGACUCCUACGGGAGGCAGCAGUAGGGAAUUUUCGGCAAUGGGCGGAAGCCUGACCGAGCAAUGCCGCGUGAAUGAAGAAGUAUUUCGGUAUGUAAAGUUCUUUUAUUUGGGACGAAAAAACAAAUUGACGGUACCAAAUGAAUAAGCCCCGGCUAACUAUGUGCCAGCCGCCGC